rnacentral:rRNA from 1 species
GUGGGGAAUAUUGGACAAUGGGGGGAACCCUGAUCCAGCCAUGCCGCGUGUGUGAAGAAGGCCUUUUGGUUGUAAAGCACUUUAAGCGAGGAGGAGGCUACCGAGAUUAAUACUCUUGGAUAGUGGACGUUACUCGCAGAAUAAGCACCGGCUAACUCUGUGCCAGCAGCCGCGGUAAUACAGAGGGGGCAAGCGUUAAUCGGAUUUACUGGGCGUAAAGCGCGCGUAGGUGGCCAAUUAAGUCAAAUGUGAAAUCCCCGAGCUUAACUUGGGAAUUGCAUUCGAUAAUGGUUGGCUAGAGUAUGGGAGAGGAUGGUAGAAUUCCAGGUGUAGCGGUGAAAUGCGUAGAGAUCUGGAGGAAUACCGAUGGCGAAGGCAGCCAUCUGGCCUAAUACUGACACUGAGGUGCGAAAGCAUGGGGAGCAAACAGGAUUAGAUACCCUGGUAGUCC